AGCGGGGUAGAGCAGAAUUAGGAGUGCUCGUCGGGCUCAUAACCCGGAAAGCUAAGAAAUAAAAGCUUGGGCAAAGGUCGGAGGUUCAAAUCCUUCCCCCGCUA
rnacentral:tRNA from 1 species